UGGUUUGCAAAACUGCCAUUUGCUCUUCCCUCUUUCUGAUUGGGUGGUAUCAUAGUCCGUCUUGGGAGGCGGGCGUGUAUUGACUUUUAUGUUGUGUUUACUGGAGAAGACGGUGUGUCAAUCACUAGCGCCACCGCUUCGGAUUGGACUGCUGCCGAGACUCUGGGGACCAGAGCCAAACUUUGCUCCCGAAAUGGAUUGUGGGUUUGUAGUCUCAGGAUUGCUCCUUAGCUGCCAAAACUGUAGAUCAGAGGAAGCGGUUGGACUACAUAUCCCAGAGAUCACGAAAGCUUGAGGCACUGCUUCAUCCUUACACAUCUCAAGCACACACACUGGAAGAUCUGCUUUCUGGCUGAAUGCUACUUUAAAAGAACUAUUUAAAAGUGUUUACCAAAAGC